rnacentral:rRNA from 4 species
UAAUGACUCUCGGCAACGGAUAUCUCGGCUCUCGCAUCGAUGAAGAACGUAGCGAAAUGCGAUACUUGGUGUGAAUUGCAGAAUCCCGUGAACCAUCGAGUCUUUGAACGCAAGUUGCGCCCCAAGCUGUUAGGCUGAGGGCACGUCUGCCUGGGUGUCACG